GUAGUCAUAUGCUUGUCUCAAAGAUUAAGCCAUGCAUGUCUAAGUAUAAGCAACUAUACGGUGAAACUGCGAAUGGCUCAUUAAAUCAGUUAUCGUUUAUUUGAUAGUACCUUACUACAUGGAUAACCGUGGUAAUUCUAGAGCUAAUACAUGCUAAAAACCUCGACUUCGGAAGGGGUGUAUUUAUUAGAUAAAAACCAAUGCCCUUCGGGGCUCCUUGGUGAAUCAUAAUAACUUAACGAAUCGCAUGGCCUUGCGCCGGCGAUGGUUCAUUCAAAUUUCUGCCCUAUCAACUUUCGAUGGUAGGAUAGUGGCCUACCAUGGUAUCAACGGGUAACGGGGAAU
rnacentral:rRNA from 1 species